rnacentral:rRNA from 1 species
ACGUAGGGACCAAGCGUUGUUCGGAUUUACUGGGCGUAAAGGGCGCGUAGGCGGUGCGGUAAGUCACUUGUGAAAUCUCUGAGCUUAACUCAGAACGGCCAAGUGAUACUGCAGUACUAGAGUGUAGAAGGGGCAAUCGGAAUUCUUGGUGUAGCGGUGAAAUGCGUAGAUAUCAAGAGGAACACCUGAGGUGAAGACGGGUUGCUGGUCUAACACUGACGCUGAGGCGCGAAAGCCAGGGGAGCAAACGGGAUUAGAUACCCCGGUAGUCCUGGCCCUAAACGAUGAAUACUUGGUGUCCGGAGUCUUUAAUGCUCUGGGUGCCGUCGCUAACGUUUUAAGUAUUCCGCCUGGGGAGUACGCUCGCAAGAGUG